rnacentral:ncRNA from 1 species
GAGGGAAGGCCCCUCGGUACCGAUUUGCAGGAAUUGGUGCCAAACCACCUUAUGCUGCGAUUGUCAAAAGCUUUUGUAGUGAGCGAUGAAGGAAAAGGCUCUUUAAAGGGUCAGGU